rnacentral:rRNA from 1 species
AUGCAAGUGAAACCCAGUAAGAAGGCAAAAAAGAGUAAGCCGUCCCGAGACCCGGUCGUGACUGAACCGGAGCUUGGCAUGACUGCUCCUGAUAGUUCUACCCAUCAGCCACCGCCUGAACCGACCCAUGACAUUCGAGCAGCAACCUCUGAUCCACCCACCGAAGACACUCUCAACAGCUCUGAUAACCCGGAAGCUCCUAGCCCGGUCAAGACAACUGAUCCGGACGUUGAGAUUCUGAAGACUCACUUUGUUGAGCCGGAGCGACCCACUGUCCUUGCCAAGUGCUCUGCUAAGGAGGAACUUCUGGAAUGUCAAAAAGCCAAGCUAGAUAUUGCCGAUUAUACCCAUUUAAGUAUUGAAGAUAUAGUCUCUGGCUAUCUCAACCAAGUACAUAGCAGCCGUGACCUGGAAAUUGGCAUGGUGAAGCAAAUACAGCAAAAAUCUGAGGUAUGA